UUUUAAGAAGAGGUAGAGAGAGAAAGAGCAAGAGAAAGGGGCAAGAGGAAGAGAAGUGGGUUGUAGAGAAGACUUGAAGAACCAAGAGGAGUUAGAGAUUCUAGGAGCUUAAUUGAAGCUUUGGCUAGGAUUAUUGCUUAUUGAAACGUUUUGUAGGAUUAGAUUGCUUUCGGUGAGUUGCUUGGUGAUUGCUUGGAUAGCGGGAGCUAAUCUCCGUUAUCGGUUCUUUAGAGUCUUAGAGUAGGCUCUGAUCUAGGAUGUCUAUCUUUAUGAUUAUUCUGAAUUUAUUUAUGUUGUGGAGAUUUUACCCAUAUGUCGGGAUUUGAAGAUUUUAUAUGUCGAUGUAUAUUGUUCUUUGACAUGUAUAUUUUGAGAUGUAUGAUUUAUAUCCGCUGCGACUGUUGAGAAAUUUUAUAUAUGCAUGUUUUUGAUGUUUU
rnacentral:lncRNA from 1 species